ensembl:lncRNA
CUUUGUGAAACGACAUAACAGUGAUCUGAAUAACAUUGUCUCCAGCUGAAACAGUUUUCCAAACAUACAAAUUCUAGCCGCAUGUACAGUUUUCAUAUUUCUGUCAUACUGCCAUGUCCUUUGUACCGGAGCUAGAACUAUAUUUGUAAGGCAAAUAUGGAUGGAAAGGCGAAAGCAUAGAUACAAAUACUGUGUCAAUUUAAACAGAUGAGCCAGCAUUACACUCCCCAUGCAAAUACGCUGGGCAAGUGCAGCAGAGCGCUUGGCCAUCCUGUAUCUCUGCUCUUUGUGCAAGAGCCCCAGGAAUCAUCACAUCCACACACAACCCCAUAAAGAGCACUUCUCCAGCUUUGCUGUUCCCACAAACUUGUAGGAAACUUCAUUUUGCUGAACUGAAUGUAUGGAUUAUGUUAAACUCUUUUUUGGAGCAACAGGCCUGCAGCAAUCCAAGAAACAUCUGAGAAGGGAGGUCAGUACUUCAUCGCCACAAUAUUCGAAAAAGCAAGUGUAGUAAUGGAAGCUACAUUGGAAAACAUAUCACAUGAUGUAUUUAUAAGCCACUCAUCUAAAUACAACCUAUGUUUCUAAUUUUGUUCAAAGGAAUAACUCGGUUUCACAACCUCCACUUUUGCAUUGAUACGUCACUGGAAAUGGGAUUCAUGAUGAGGAUUUAUACAAUAACGGCUUUUUGUGCCUUGGGAUUACUUUUUAACUUGGUCAGUGUGACAUUUCCUUCUAUAAAUAACUUCAGUAAUUUUUUAAAAAAAGAUGAGCUCCACAAUGAAAUGAAAAUACAGAAGUGUGGAAAAUGCUAACUGGUAUAUGUUAAUUCACAUGCAUUGCAUAUAAUGCAUGAUCUGUUCAAAUCUCCUUCAAUGUUUAAACACUGAAACAUAACAAAUUGUUUUCUUAUUGGUUUGUAUAGGAGACAUGUGCAGGGGGUGAGUUUAUUUUUCAUUUUUAAUCAGCUUACACUUUUAUAACUUACACUGCAUUCAUUUACACUGCUGAAACACUAAGGUAAAGUAUCUUACUAAAGGGUACUAUAGCGGGGGUCCCUUUCGACCAAACUGGCUGCCUUCGGGUUGCAUGUCCAACUUUGUUCUAGUAAUGGAAAAUAGAUAUGUUUAUCUGGAAUUAUUAAGGAUGCUGUGAACUCUCAGGUGCAUGUUUUUUCCGAGUAACUUGGUUUUGAGUCUACAUGUUGUUUUCUGGUCUGAAUUUACAACCAAAAAAGCAAGUCAGGAGUCUGUGCAUUUUGGGUGCUCAAUUAACAUAUGCAUAAAAAAUUUUGCAUUGUUUUGAUAAUGAGAAGUAUAUGGCGUUCUGUGUGAUGUAACCCAUGGAAUCUUUUUUACUCCAGUGAUAGCACUAAAAUGUGCGGUUUAACUAUGCAAACCAGCAUAUUCUCUGUGUAGUUCGAAUGGUUUUUGGAUUACUUACACAGCCAUAAUUUAUCACACAGGGACCUAAAAUCUGCAAAAAACCUAGUAAAUGUGAUAUUCUGUUGGCCUCAUACUGUACUUCAUAUGGUUAACUUUACUGUGCACCGUAUUGGAUUGAUUCUUAGGCUUCUCAGUGUGCUGCAAUUAUAUAUAUAUAUAUAUAUAUUUUUUUUUUUUUGGGUUAUUGGUAAGUACCUCUCUAUAUCGAGAGACUGCCUCCGGAAUGUUCUGACCUCCCCCUGUGUCCAUAGGGCUCUUUGUUACAUUAAUUUACUAAUUAAUUUUAAUGUUAAUUAAAAUUCAGUAUAUUGUAAAGAUUAAGCAUUACUUAACUGAAACAAAACACAAAAAGCCUGAAUUCCAAUCAACC